ACAAUAGGGAGUGGCGGGGGAGCCAAUGCCCAGGCUGCGCCUGCGCACAGAGCGCUCAAGGCUCACCACGCUCCAGGCCGUGUUUUGGGUGGUUCGACGCCCUCUAGAGACCAGAGGAGGGGUUACAGGAACUCGUUGAACUCCCGCUGGACGGGACAUAAUUGGCGCCCAACGUGGGGCUGAGGCACGGGGAUUGAAUUGAACGUCGUUCUUUGUGGGCCCACACAAGUUCAUAGGAUCGCCGCUUCUACAGGAGAAGUGAGUGAAGAUCCUGCAUAAGAGAUCUCCACAGAACCACCCGUCUGUGAGUCUGAUCCGGAGAGGAAAAUGAUGCAGCUUGAUGGCUACUGGAAUGCCUGGUGCAACAAGUGGAUGAGGAGUUUUCUCCUGAUAAUGAUAAUGAUGUCAAAGAAGACCCCGCCAGUCAAGAUGACUGCUAUGUGCUGUCCUCAAGGAAGAAUGUUGUUCUUACAUGGACUAUUCUGGGGUUGUGAAAGUCAGCAUGGCUAAAGUUAGAGAGGAUAAAAAGACAGAGAGAACAAGAGGAAAGUUGGUUUAAUAAUUGGUUUUCAACCUCUCCCUGGCUCACUACUCUCCUACCUUCAGUCUUGGGACCCAUGGUGGGCUUCCUUCUUCUCAUAUCUUUCAGCCCAUGAGCCAUCAAAAGGCUUACUAGCUUUGUAAAAGAACAAAUUGACUCCCUGGCAUCUAAACCCAUACAAGUUCAUUAUCACGGACUUGAUUUGGCUGACAGAGGCUUAGCUGAGCCCGAGGAAAACUGGUAACAGUCCAUCACAUGGGUCUUGAUUGCAUUUGGCUCUCAUGAGAACAGCAUAAAACUCAGAUAAGUGCUUGCCUAAUGUGGCAUGGGCACCAUAGGGGUGUAGGAAAAGGUACCACAGGGGAAGGACCCAAUUGUCCACUUCUGAGUUCCCCGAGAAGCAAACCUGAUUGCAUAGAGGUUGGUGUCUGAUUACCCCUAACCACAACCUGCUGGGGAUGCUCUCAGGUGUUGAUGGGGUCUUCCUCUCCUCCCCAAAAAGACACCCAAAAAGGCUGCAAAAUGCCCUGGGAGGAUCAUGUCUGUACUUCCCCCCUCUGGUUAAUGCCCACUGUCUUCAAAAGACCUCAUGUUCAUAACCUACCUGCUAGCCUCUUAAAUUAUUUGAGAAAGGGAGGAGAUGCCGGGAGCCACAGCCAGCUAGUGGAAAGUUACAGACAGCUGCAACAAGGUUGUAGGUGAGAGAUUUACAUUUCCGGAACCUAUGAGACAUCUGUGCAUCAGGCUAGACAUUUUGAGCUAUCUUAGCUGACAUUCUUGUAGUAUCUCUUUUAGUAAACAUUCUUGUGGUGUUCUGCAUCAUCAUUAAUCACCCUGUUAUGUUUUGUAAACUAUAUUGCUGACACAUUUUCCCUUCCCGCCUUCUCCCUAUAAAGUUGUGUGAAAAUUUUCAAAUAAAGGAGAGCAA